rnacentral:rRNA from 1 species
GGUUUGACGAGAGCUAUGCUGUCUCUUUUAAAUAUUUAAAAAUUAACUUUUAGGUGAAGAGGCCUAAAUUUAUUUAAGGGACAAGAAGACCCUGUUGAGCUUUAGUGAUGUUGUAAACGAUGAAGAAUAAGUUAUUAUCAAUUUGUUGUGUAUUUAUUAUAAUAAAAGUUUGCAGAUAAUCUUUAGUUGGGGCGACUGAGGAACAUAAAAAGCUUCCUUGUAUAUAAAUUAUUUAAGUAAUUGAAUAAAUUAAUGCUUAUGUGUUAUUUUGAUCCAAAUUAUUUUGAUUAAGAGAAAAAGUUACCACAGGGAUAACAGCGUAAUCUUUCUGGAGAGAUCUUAUCGAAAGAAGGGUUUGCCACCUCGAUGUUGGACUAAGAUAUCCUAAGGGUGUAGAAGUUCUUAAAGGUUGGUCUGUUCGACCAUUAAAAUCUU